rnacentral:rRNA from 1 species
CAGCCGCCGCGGGAAUACAGAGGGUGCGAGCGUUAAUCGGAUUUACUGGGCGUAAAGCGUGCGUAGGCGGCUAAUUGAGUCGGAUGUGAAAUCCCCGAGCUUAACUUGGGAAUUGCAUUCGAUACUGGUUAGCUAGAGUGUGGGAGAGGAUGGUAGAAUUCCAGGUGUAGCGGUGAAAUGCGUAGAGAUCUGGAGGAAUACCGAUGGCGAAGGCAGCCAUCUGGCCUAACACUGACGCUGAGGUACGAAAGCAUGGGGAGCAAACAGGAUUAGAGACCCCUGUAGUCCCUGUCUCUUAUAC